GGCGGAAAUCUCAAAUCUCUCUCUCUCUCUCUCUCUUUCUGUCACGCGCACACACACACGCAACUCAAUCAAUCGUUUCGGAAGGAGUUCGAGGUUCCGCCCCUCUUUUAGAGAUUAGGGUUCUUCGUCGGCGAAUAAUUUACCACGCUAACGAUUGUGUACAGAUUUAUUGGUCUUCAAUUCCAGAAUUGCCAGGCCCUACAGAGGAUGAGCAUGCUAGUUUGCUAGAGCGCAACUGGUAUUCAUUGGCGUACCAUGUCCAUUGCUAAGUUGGAGAUUUAUAGUAUGGGGUUUUUCAUCAUCCAUAUUGCCAUCAAGAAGGUUCAUUGAUUCACAUGUUUGUCAACUAUAACAGUCCAUCUAGCUAAGCUUACAUUUCGGAGUAAUCAUUGGAAAAUGAUUCUGAGAUCUGUUUGACUUGUAUCUGACUUUGUGGCUAGUUAGACUUGUCAAUUCAUCAGUACAAUAGGCACAGUCAGUCUCUUGGUUGAUGAACCAGAUGAUGUAUUCUCUUCGAUAUUAAGAAUGCAAAAGCAAGAUGUUGAUAGAAGUUAGCGACCUAAACGUUUGGUAGCUUUUGAUGGUUCGGUGUUGUACGAUCAUUCAAGCAGGAUGUCGUUGGAUGCUGGAUGAGGUGGAGGCCAAUGUCAAACAGCGAGGAUCUGUUUGGUUUUUUCGUUUCCUCCACUUCUUGCAACUACAAAAAAUUACCUGCUGGUGGAGAAACAAGUUUGCAUAAAGGUGUUGGGGACAUCAGGAAUUCUUUGAAAGAAGUCUGCGGUUGAUGCGAUCCAUGGAGUUGGUUCACCAGCCUAUUUUAUCGACACAAGUUUGAGGUAAGAAAUUGUGUUUGUUGUGAUUGUAGGUAGCAGGCAUUAAGCUUGGCUCAUCAUUGCCAUGAUCUUUGAGAAGUAAUAUGGAGGAGAAAUGGUUGUUGCUUGCUCCCGUUGAUAAGUUCUACAGAAAUCGUCAUCUAAAUCAAAUCAUACAAGGGAAAGAGUGAGUAUUUUCUAUAGGAGGCUAUUGACUGGUUCAUGCGUAUUUGGGGUUGAUGUAGCAGCUGGUGUUUGCUGUCGAGGCGAAAAUGUUGAUCAGGUGAGCUCUCUCCUAUUGAAUUUUGCUGCCUUUUUUUUUUGUCAAAAUUCGGAACAAGUCGAAGUGACAAUUAUUCCAUUCAAAAUCUUUAUCAUCGUAUCAGAUUAUAUAUUUGAAUUCUAUAUUUAUCUUCA